AUUGAACGCUGGCGGAAUGCUUUACACAUGCAAGUCGAACGGCAGCACGGACUCCGGUCUGGUGGCGAGUGGCGAACGGGUGAGUAAUGUAUCGGAACGUGCCCAGUCGUGGGGGAUAACGUAGUGAAAAUUACGCUAAUACCGCAUACGAUCUAUGGAUGAAAGCGGGGGAUCGCAAGACCUCGCGCGAUUGGAGCGGCCGACAUCAGAUUAGGUAGUUGGUGAGGUAAAGGCUCACCAAGCCGAUGAUCUGUAGCUGGUCUGAGAGGACGACCAGCCACACUGGGACUGAGACACGGCCCAGACUCCUACGGGAGGCAGCAGUGGGGAAUUUUGGACAAUGGGCGCAAGCCUGAUCCAGCAAUGCCGCGUGCAGGAUGAAGGCCUUCGGGUUGUAAACUGCUUUUGUACGGAACGAAACGGCGAGCUCUAAUACAGUUUGCUAAUGACGGUACCGUAAGAAUAAGCACCGGCUAACUACGUGCCAGCAGCCGCGGUAA
rnacentral:rRNA from 1 species